AGUGAACGCUGGCGGUAGGCCUGACACAUGCAAGUCGAACGGCAGCACAGUAAGAGCUUGCUCUUACGGGUGGCGAGUGGCGGACGGGUGAGGAAUACAUCGGAAUCUACUUUUUCGUGGGGGAUAACGUAGGGAAACUUACGCUAAUACCGCAUACGACCUACGGGUGAAAGCAGGGGAUCUUCGGACCUUGCGCGAUUGAAUGAGCCGAUGUCGGAUUAGCUAGUUGGCGGGGUAAAGGCCCACCAAGGCGACGAUCCGUAGCUGGUCUGAGAGGAUGAUCAGCCACACUGGAACUGAGACACGGUCCAGACUCCUACGGGAGGCAGCAGGGGGGAAUAUUGGACAAGGGGCGCAAGCCUGAUCCAGCCAUACCGCGUGGGUGAAGAAGGCCUGCGGGUUGUAAAGCCCUUUUGUUGGGAAAGAAAAGCAGCAGGUUAAUACCCCGCUGUUCGGACGGUACCCAAAGAAUAAGCACCGGCGAACUUCGG
rnacentral:rRNA from 1 species